CAGAAUCAAUCCAAUCCAGGUGUAUGAUACUGGAUAGCUGUGAAGAACAUCUUUAAAUGCUUGAGAAGUACUAAAGAUUUAUUCUUGAUUUUUGAAGAAGAAUUUUGAAUUAUAGGAUUUAUGGGUAUGCGUGCUCGGAUCUUGAGUAAGGCACUGAUGGUAGAGAGUCUACAUUAGGAUAUGUGCAAUAUAGAAUUGGUAGAUUGGAAGAGUUCCAAAUAACCAAUCAUUGUAGGAAGCUGAGUUAGUUACCUUUUCAAAGAUGCUA
rnacentral:lncRNA from 1 species